rnacentral:rRNA from 1 species
AUACGGAGGAUCCGAGCGUUAUCCGGAUUUAUUGGGUUUAAAGGGUGCGCAGGCGGCCAUUUAAGUCAGCGGUUAAAUCGUGGGGCUCAACCCCAUUCUGCCGUUGAUACUGGGUGGCUUGAUUGCGGUCGAGGUUGGCGGAAUUCGUUGUGUAGCGGUGAAAUGCAUAGAUAUGACGAAGAACACCGAUUGCGUAGGCAGCUGACCAGACCGCAAAUGACGCUCAUGCACGAAAGUGCGGGGAUCGAACAGGAUUAGAUACCCUGGUAGUCCGCACAGUAAACGAUGAAUACUUGUUUUCGGCGAUAUAAUGUCGGAGGCAAAGCGAAAGCGAUAAGUAUUCCACCGGGGGAGUACGCCGGCAACGGUGAAACUCAAAUGAAUUGACGGGGG